rnacentral:rRNA from 1 species
GGUUCAUUCAAAUUUUUGCCCUAUCAACCUUCGAUGGUAGGAUAGUGGCCUACCAUGGUAUCAACGGGUAACGGGGAAUUAGGGUUCGAUUCCGGAGAGGGAGCCUGAGAAACGGCUACCACAUCCAAGGAAGGCAGCAGGCGCGCAAAUUACCCAAUCCCGACCGGGGAGGUAGUGACAAUAAAUACUGAUACAGGGCUCUUUUGGGUCUUGUAAUUGGAAUGAGUACAAUUUAAAUCCCUUAACGAGGAACAAUUGGAGGGCAAGUCUGGUGCCAGCAGCCGCGGUAAUUCCAGCUCCAAUAGCGUAUAUUAAAGUUGUUGCAGUUAAAAAGCUCGUAGUUG